ensembl:lncRNA
GUCCUCUCAUAAGGAAAUAAGGGGCAGAAGUUCAGCUCCUCGGAGCUCCUCCUCACCUUGAGCACUCCCUUCGGCUGGUGAAGAAUGUGACUGGAAUCCAAAAGCCAGACGGCUGUCGGUGGAGAUGGGCUCCAGCUCCCCGUGACUUCGGAGCAUCAUCAACCUCCAAGGAGGCGGGAAUGUACAAGACCAUUUCCAUCAACCAGAUUGCUUCCAAAUUCUUCCUCUCUCAGAAGCUUCCUCCUCAGGUGACCCAGAUGUACCUGAGAGCAUCAGCUUCCCAGGAGAUCUCUCAGGCAGAAGCUUGGGGUCUCAGAUCUAGAGGCUGAGAAGUCCAAGACUAAGGCUGGUUCUUCACAGAUUUGCUGUCUGGUGAGAGCUCACUUCCUGGUUCAUAAAUAGCCAUCUUCUCACUGCAACCUCCAUGCGAAUGACUAGAUCUCUUUUAUAAAG